AGCCACCACAUCUGGCCAUUUUCUUAAUCUUACUACAAAAAGGUUCAGCUUCCCUUCCUAGGUCCUCUCUUCUCACCCUCCAGCCUGUAGCUAACGGGCCCACUCCUGAGCUCCGCCUUCCAUGUGAUUCUUUUGCUGCAGCGGUCACACUGUGAGGUUUCUUGCCUGCCUUCCCCAGUCUUGGUCUUAGGCUUCUCCAAUUUCUUGAGCUCAGGGCUAGGCACGGGGCCGGAGGGGUGCGGCGGGCGAUAGAUAGCAAGUGGAGGGUCAGCGAGGAAGCGGAAUCCGGCGGCCUCCGGGAGCGGCCGGCAGAGGGCGCGCCGGGACCGGGAGAGGCGACUGCGGCUGCUGCGGGCAGCUGGCGGCGAAGGAGACGCGGAGGACGCCAGCCCUUGGGAAGCGCACGUGGGGCUUGCCCAGCAGCGCCUGGGGGCACGUGUGCUGCCCCGGGGCGCGCUGCCCUGGCUAAAAAUACAACGCGCACCCGCGUCCUCCCUGGUGGGGGAGGCGGCCCUAGGGAGGAGAUACUGCUGGAGCCUCGUUUUUCUGGGAUUACAGGCGUGAGCCACCGCGCCCGGCCCAUUUUCUUAAUCUUCCCAGGCUCCCGAGAAACCUGGUACAAGCCUCGCACUGCCCCUCAGUCCUCUCAUCUGUGGAAUGGGGGCCGUUCAUGUAUUCGAUAAAUAUUGAACGUGUACGUUGUACCAGGCACUGCUGCAGGCGUCCAGCUUAACUACAAGGCUCUUACUGCUGUGGAGUUUACAGCCCACUGUGUGCAGGGAAAUAAAAUAAGCAAAU
rnacentral:lncRNA from 10 species